UGCGACCCCAGGUCAGGCGGGAUUACCCGCUGAGUUUAAG
rnacentral:rRNA from 2 species